rnacentral:rRNA from 1 species
AUUGAACGCUGGCGGCAUGCCUUACACAUGCAAGUCGAACGGCAGCAUGAUCUAGCUUGCUCGAUUGAUGGCGAGUGGCGAACGGGUGAGUAAUACAUCGGAACGUGCCCUGUAGUGGGGGAUAACUAGUCGAAAGAUUAGCUAAUACCGCAUACGACCUGAGGGUGAAAGUGGGGGACCGCAAGGCCUCAUGCUAUAGGAGCGGCCGAUGUCUGAUUAGCUAGUUGGUGGGGUAAAGGCUCACCAAGGCGACGAUCAGUAGCUGGUCUGAGAGGACGAUCAGCCACACUGGGACUGAGACACGGCCCAGACUCCUACGGGAGGCAGCAGUGGGGAAUUUUGGACAAUGGGCGAAAGCCUGAUCCAGCAAUGCCGCGUGUGUGAAGAAGGCCUUCGGGUUGUAAAGCACUUUUGUCCGGAAAGAAAUGGCUCAGGUUAAUACCUGGGGUCGAUGACGGUACCGGAAGAAUAAGGACCGGCUAACUACGUG